AUGGCAGGCCGGGGAUUGGGUCCAACACCUGCUGGCACGAGCGGUUGUACCUCAAGCGUGAUGCCAUUCUGCCUUUGGGUGCUAACGGCAGGGACGAGAGGUACAGGAGCCAAGGCCCAGGCCUCCUCACAGGAGUUCCUUGGAGGCAGCGGGGAGUUAAUCGCAGAAAGCUUCCUGCAGGAGGCAGCGCUUAGGUGGUGCCAAGGAGUCAAUCAAACAACCCACGACAGCUGUCAGCAGGCGCCUGGGCCCACGUUCCCUGUUUCCCUGGCCUGCUUCCUGCGGGCUCAAGGGGGCUGUGCCACCACAGUGGGCCCGAGGGCUGGUGGGGGACCAAGCCUCAGCAGAGGUGAUGGUCAUGCAAGGAAGGAGCGCCGCUCCUUUGGAAGUGACACCGGAGAAGGGCGCUCCUGUCUUCUACAUUCAUGAAUCAUGGCGGGAAAGACGAAGAGACCCUCCCUCGGUACCCGCAGUGCCUUGGUGUGUGUGUGUUGGGGGCUGGGGUUCAUGGACGUGCCCUGUCAUAACUCCUCCUUUCAGUGACUGUAGUCGCAGAGGGCAGGAACCGACAAUUUCAGGUCACUGGCAGGUCACUGUUAUGACCGUCACCAGUAUUUCCCUCUGCCGAAGACAAGGCACGGCCCCCAAGCAGGACACCCGACUGAAGGAUAAAGGAGUGGUCUUUGGGGGUCUGGCCGGCCCUAGGGAGGGAUCAAGAGGCACCCCCCAGCUGUCCUUUCGUGGCCCAGAAUAAGAAAUGGUGGCCUCUAGAGGGCUGGAAAGAGAGCUAACAGUGAUCAAGCAGCUAGGUUAAGCUGGCUGGCUGUCCACUACACCUCAGUUCAUCCUGCCCCCUACCCUGUGAGCCGCUCUGCUGCCCGCCCACCAAAGGAGAAACUGAGGCCCAGAGCAGUUUAAAUAACUUGCUCGAGUUUACACAGCUAGCAAAUGCCAGAGGUAGGAACUGGGUCCGUGCUCUUUUUCUCACACAGCCCUGCCAAACCAAGAGGGACCGUCCAGGGUGGGAGCCACACCCCACGUGCCCUGGCACAACUGAUACUAUGCUUCUUUUUCUUUCUUCCCUUUUUUCCUUCAUUUCUUUUUGCUUGUUGUUCACACUUAGGUAAGGCUUUGAGGGGGGUGGGGGGGUCGUGGAGUAGGACGACACACCCCUGAGCCCGAUCAGAUGGGACAGGGGUCAGAGGAAGAUCCCAAAGAGGGAAAUGAAAUUCUGGGGCUGCUCCGGUACCUGAGCAGUGUGGCGUGGGGGCUAAGGGUAUCUGCCCUAGGUUCACAGACCCCCGAUUCAAGUCCCAGAGCCAUCACUCAGGGACGUCGGGCAGGUUGCUUCACCUCUUUCUGCCUCAAUUUCCUUCCCCCCGGAAACGGUAGUGAUGUAGAGACUAGCUCUGGGAGCUGUGAGGAUUAA
rnacentral:lncRNA from 1 species